rnacentral:misc_RNA from 1 species
GGGGACAAAAAAAAAUGUCCCACAGUCCAUACCAGAUAUGGACACUUUCAACUUUAUUGGAAAACAAUAUGAUAGCCAUUCAUUACUUACCAUGUUAUUUAAUAUGCAAUUAAAUUUUAUUUGUUUUUAAUUAGUACUAAUUUCCAUUCUGUGCGUAUUUAUAAUCUUAAAGUUCAGAUACUGUUUCCAUGAUUUUUUUUCCACGUUAUCAAUUUGAUAAUUUAGAUUCAAUUGAUUUCAAAUUAAUUAAAUAUCAA